rnacentral:lncRNA from 1 species
GUUAAUAAGAGCGUUUACUUAAGAAGUGAUUAGAUUUGGGGUUAGAGUUUUGAGCAAAAAAGUGACAUCUUUAUCCAUCAAAAAGGAGCGAGUAAAGGGGAAGAGGAAGCAAAGAGGAACAGAUAAGCUAAUUAGAGAGAUGAUGAUGUGAGAAAGGGAAGGAGGAGGAGGAGAGGGUUUGUUGUUGGUUUUUGGUUUUAGUUUUGGGAGUGGUAGGAGGAUGAGGAUGAUGACUGUAGAUAAUAAAAAUCUGGGUUUUGUGGUUGUCCUUCUUAACCCACCACAAAUUUUUAACCCUGGUUCUAAUCUCUGGUUAACUUUUUGUGUCCCCACUUGAGAGAUUAAAUUAGAUUAGAUUGUUGUUUAUUUAUGUGAUGUGUGUAAUAAAUACGAGUAAAUGGUUAUGAACCAACUUGAUUAAUUAC